GGGGCGUCUUAAUGUGUGUGGCCACGUUCUGACAGUGAUGUGGACAAUGAGACUUCAUUUAUGCAUGUUUUGUGUUUGUUAUGCAGAAGGUAAUUGCUUGCAACUGGGAACCUGUUGAACCAGUGCAGUGUUCAGGAAGGAGCAGCUCACAUUCCUCCUGCUCUGUGAAACCUGAAGAUGUUUCUUCCUCCUUUGCUUUGGUCCUCCUUGCUUUAUGCAAAGGCAAAACCGGUGCGGCCAAGAUCAUCUAGGGAACAGUAUUAGGACUACCUGAUUUGGUUGCAAGUAUAACAAAUCUAGGACCAGAAUUUAGAGACAGGUUGUUCAUUUGAUGUUUAUUUAUUGUCACUAUCUGCAUUACUCUUUGUAAUGAGUUAAUUUGUGGAGCAUUUUUUGUUCUGUUGCGUAACAGCAGUGAUAUUGGAGGUACUGGUGUGAGCACCCAGAAUACCUGCAUCUCCAGGGCUGAUGGUGAGUGUGAGAAUGGGUCCAGAAAAAGAAGACAUCCUGGGGGAGAAUAUGGGAAGAGAGAAAAGCAGUUUUCCCCCCUGAAUUCCCAAUGUCCAUCUCUGGAGUGCUGAUUGUCUGUG
ensembl:lncRNA